ACGGAAGGCAGCAGUGGGGGAUAUUGCACAAUGGGGGAAACCCUGAUGCAGCGACGCCGCGUGAGUGAAGAAGUAUUUCGGUAUGUAAAGCUCUAUCAGCAGGGAAGAAAAUGACGGUACCUGACUAAGAAGCUCCGGCUAAAUACGUGCCAGCAGCCGCGGUAAUACGUAUGGAGCAAGCGUUAUCCGGAUUUACUGGGUGUAAAGGGAGCGUAGACGGUUUGCCAAGUCUGAUGUGAAAGCUUGGGGCUCAACCCCGAAACUGCAUUGGAAACUGGUAGACUAGAGCGUCGGAGAGGUAAGUGGAAUUCCUAGUGUAGCGGUGAAAUGCGUAGAUAUUAGGAGGAACACCAGUGGCGAAGGCGGCUUACUGGACGAUAACUGACGUUGAGGCUCGAAAGCGUGGGGAGCAAACAGGAUUAGAUACCCUGGUA
rnacentral:rRNA from 1 species